CACACACACACACACACACACACCGAACAUACAUGUACGUUCAUUGUAAAUCUGCCUUUUGCGUAUGGGUCAGUGCUGGCUCGAAUAAGUAUGUCAUCGUGAUUUGUUAAGAAAACGAGGAAAACCGAACGAAGGUUUCGUCCUUUCAAUUAGAUCGCAAGCGCAGUGCAACCGAAGAACCAACCAAGUGUUUCUUCCCUCGCAGGCUCCCUUCCACUGCACGAGGCUGCGAAGGGAGGUCGGAGGGAGGUGGUGGAGGCGCUGCUCGCCGGGGGCGCUGACCCAAACGCCCAGGAUUAUUUUGGUCGGCAGCCUCUCCACAGGGCCGCAGAGGGAGGUCGGAGGGAGGUGUUGGAGGCGCUGCUCGCCGGGGGCGCUGACCCCAACGCCCAGGAUGGUUUUGACUGGACCCCCCAGCACGUUGCUGCCUCUGAGGGUCAUAAGGCAGUGGUGGACGUCCUCAUGGCGGGGGGGAGCGACCUCAAUGCCAGAGAUUGUGACGGCAGAACGGCGAUGCACGUUGCAGCCAAGCAGGGGCACUGGGGGGCGCUGGAAUCUCUUGCAGCGAGCUGGGCCACGUGGACCCUCGUCGGACGAUGCGGG